rnacentral:rRNA from 1 species
UGGGCUCGAAAUGCAGCUGACAUCCGGUGAAAGCCGGCUCCCGCAAGGGCAGCUGUAUAGGUGCUGCAUGGCUGUCGUCAGCUCGUGUCGUGAGAUGUUGGGUUAAGUCCCGCAACGAGCGCAACCCUCGUCCUCUGUUGCCAUCAGGUCAAGCUGGGCACUCUGAGGAGACUGCCGGUGAUAACCGGNGGAAGGUGGGAUGACGUCAAGUCAGCAU